rnacentral:lncRNA from 1 species
GCUCAAAAGAUUUACUACUAUAUAUUAUUAUUAUUAUCAUCAUCCAUUACUGGUUUAGUAACAGAACAAUGAAACACUAACUAAUUACAUUUGAAAAUUUGGCAGCAACAAAUAUGACAGCCACUUGUUCACUCCUAUGCAUAAAGGGGGCGGAAAUCGUAUUUCACAUUUUCUUACGAAUAGGACAGUUGAUUAAACCCCAAGAUCUGUCCACAUACAGAAACCCUAUAACUACUGCACUAUUAUCCACUAUCAACAAAAGCUAAAUCAAAUGGCUAUCAAGGCUUUUGAGAAUUUCCUGCAAAAUUGAGCAGGAGAAAAAAAACAAGUCAAACAAAGAACUUCAAGUGUGAAGCAGUAUGCAGUAAACUGAAUAAUUCACCACGAAACAGAUAAAAAUGAUGUAAUUUGGCGUAUUUAGUUUUCAACUAAUCAAAUAAUAUACAACAGUGAUUUCAAGCAAACAAUUUAGCUGUAAAUAACUAAUUUUGACACAAUCAGGUCCAGUUUCCCUGGAUGCUAGCCAAAUGAUCCAUAGUAAGGAUGUUCUUUUGCAUAUGUCACUAGGCCUAGCAAGAACAGACAAAUUAUAAACAAAAACUGAACGCCCAAAGAUUAAAUUAUUUUUCUUCACCAACCCCAUAAAAUUCUUGCAAAUAAUUUAAAAGACACAAUGAAGGAAAUUUCUAUAAAAGCAAGCAUCUCUUUCAUUUUUGUUAUUUGGACAUGCAUAAAGAGCUUCUUCCUUCAAAAAAACUGAUGAGAAAAGAAUUCAUAUUCCAUCCUACAUCAUAUUUAUUGGGGAAAAAACAAUUUAUAUACUUAUAUAUACGCAUACAUAUAUUAGCUCUAUUCAAGUAAAAGGAGGAGAUUGGAGUCAUGGUGCAGACCUUGCUUGGUGCUCCACAACUGACUUUCCAAUAGGUGUUUUGGCCUUGGUCCUAUGAUCUCUGAGCUUGGGAAGUUUCUCCUAGAAGCCUGAAAUCAUAAUAGAAGAAUUCAAUUUCUUCAACAAAGACCUACAAUUGAGUUCUCCACAGCUUGGUCUAAUACACUAUACUGAGACACCUAACCAUGCAUUGCACUUAACGUAUCUCAACUAUGUGCUUGGGUAAGCUAGGUUGUAGCGAUAACAACGAUUGCAUCUAAUAUGAACUACGGAAUAGAAAACAUGGAUAUUAUGAGUUUUCCAAAUAAAAAUAUCAUGGCCCAUUAUCUUUAUUCAGAAAUGAGAUGUCAAUCCCAUUAUCAUUCUUGCUGACCCCUUCCGAUCUUAGAAAGGAUCAGGCAACAUAGCCAACAAGCCAUACCAUUGGGAUCAUCUUAAGAUUUUGUGCAAUUCACAUACAUCAUGACAAUCUUUAUAAUGGUAACAAAGUAUAGGAUGUGCUCCCGGCUUAAAUAACUAUAUCUUAAAAAUAUUUUUAAGGAAUUUCUAAAUUUAGAUUAAAAACAAUAAAAAGAAAAGCCAAUCUCUAGUUUCCAUUACCACAUUCACAGUCAGCAUGGACGGAUCCAUUAAGGGGGCAGCAUAGGAAGCUGCCCCGCCGGAUUUUUUUUUAUAGGUAUAAGAGUAGGGGCAAAUAUAUAAGUGAAUAAAUUUAAGAAGACAAAUUAAUGAAAAAGUUUAGCUUGGAGGGGGACAAAAAAAAUAUUCAUUCAUAUUUUAAAUACAAGUACAUACAAACGUAUAUUCAUUCUACUUCUGUCUUCUAAAUUCUAAGUUGUAUCUAAAUAUUUUUUAUUUAAAAUUUCUUUUUUAGUUUAGAUUAUGAAUAUUUAUUGCAAUUUGUAAAUAUUAUUAUGAUUAGUUAAUAUUAUGAUUAGUUCAAGUUUUCUUUAUUUAACUUCAACAAAAAAAAAAUUAGUUAAAAUCCCUCGGAUCCGCCCCUGACAGUCAGCUUGAUAAGAGAAUCCCAAAAACAAUUAUUAUUUAGACCCAAAAAAAAUUAAUUGAGUAAGCUACAUAACAACAUACAAAUCAACCUAACCUCCAGAAUUGAGCAAAACCCAUAAAUUAGACUAUUAAGCUUAAAAUUAAUAAUUCUAGCUCUAUUGUUCAAUUCUACACCAUAUUAGCCAAUACCCAAAACCCAUGAAUACAAUCAUGAAAAGCAGUUGAUACAUAAAUUGAAUUACAUUAAAAAGAAAUAAAAUUGAAUACCAAGAACUAAUAAUACCGUCGAUGGGGGUGGAAAAAUUGACGCAAAAACACCAGCCGAUGACGAUGGCGACUCUUUGGCGCCAAAAAGGUCAGCCGUAAACGAUGCGGAAGUAGAAGGAGAUGAAGAACCCACUUGCUUAUUAUUUGCCAUUUAUUUCUCUCCUCUUAAUAUUGUCAAUCCAACAAACAAACUGAAAUGCCCAACUGAAAGAUUAAUAAUUAAUUUGGAAAAAGAGAGGCAAUAUUGAAUAAGAUCAAACUCUAUAUCAGAUUCGAAUGCACUGCGCAGUCUGCGCCCUAUACAUAUAGGCUUCCUUCCAUAUGCCCAGCCGCACCUUUGGAAUAAGAAAGCCAAUACAUUCCCAUAAAAAUAUAUAUUUCCUUAAUCCAUUCUUGAUCAAUUUUGAUAAUUUAAAUCUAAUUAAAAGUUUAACGAAUUUAUUUAAUUUUAGAUAAUAAAAAAAUAAUUUUAAAGGAGGUAACUUCAUAUCAUAAUAUUAACUAUAAAUUAGAUUAUCAAGAAUAGUGACACACUUACGGUUAACGCCAGGCAAGUUUCGCCUGUGAAGCUUGACGACUUGUCUCUACAAGAUUUAACGAUGGAAGUUUUAGUGUUUACUAUAUUAGCUUCAAGCCUUGUAUAGGACUCCUACUAAAAUCAAUUUU